UGGGGAAUUUUGCACAAUGGGGGAAACCCUGAUGCAGCGACGCCGCGUGAUUUAGAAGGCCUUCGGGUUGUAAAAAUCUUUUGUAUAGGAAGAAAAUGACAGUACUAUACGAAUAAGGACCGGCUAAUUACGUGCCAGCAGCCGCGGUAAUACGUAAGGUCCGAGCGUUGUCCGGAAUCAUUGGGCGUAAAGGGUACGUAGGCGGGUAAGCAAGUUAGAAGUGAAAUCCUAUAGCUCAACUAUAGUAAGCUUUUAAAACUGCUCAUCUUGAGGUAUGGAAGGGAAAGUGGAAUUCCUAGUGUAGCGGUGAAAUGCGUAGAUAUAUGGAGGAACACCGGUGGCGAAAGCGGCUCUCUGGUCUGUAACUGACGCUGAGGCUCGAAAGCGUGGGGAGCGAACAGG
rnacentral:rRNA from 1 species